GAUCAUUAACUAUUCAUGAAAGUGCAGGCUGUGCAACUCCUAGGAGAAACACUCCCUGUAUCCCUCAUUGAAAUCUCCCCUGUGCAUAUGACUUUUGUUGCUUCCCGCAACGCGGACCCUAGAGCGCAACUGCUUUAGAGUUAACGUGCGGGGAGGAGAUCAUAAACUCUGAUUGCUGUGGUCCUAGUCUGAGUGGUUAUCACAUUAAACAAGUUAAAACUUUCAACAACGGAUCUCUUGGUUCUCGCAUCGAUGAAGAACGCAGCGAAAUGCGAUAAGUAGUGUGAAUUGCAGAAUUCAGUGAAUCAUCGAAUCUUUGAACGCACAUUGCGCCUUCUGGUAUUCCGGGAGGCAUGCCUGUUCGAGCGUCAUCAAACACAUUCUCAAGCCUCUUUGCUUGGUAUUGGAGGAAGAUGUUUGCAUCCCCUCUCAAAUCCCUCAGCAGAAAUCCCUGCAGUCUCAGGUGUGAUAAUUACUUUUCGCUUGAUGACUGUGGGUAUGUUCUUGCUGUUAACAGCCCCCCAGCUGCUUUAUGAGUUUGACCUCGGAUCAGGUAGGGAUACCCGCUGAACUUAAGCAUAUCAAUAAGCGGAGGAAAAGAAACCAACAGGGAUUGCCUCAGUAACUGCGAGUGAAGCGGCAAGAGCUCAAAUUUGAAAUCUGGUACCUUUGGGUGCCCGAGUUGUAAUUUGGAGAGGCAACUUCGAGGGAGGCGCUGGCCUAAGUUCCUUGGAACAGGACGUCACAGAGGGUGAGAAUCCCGUGCUUGGCUGGCUGUCCUCCUUCAUGUGAAGUGUCUUCGACGAGUCGAGUUGUUUGGGAAUGCAGCUCAAAAUGGGUGGUAAACUCCAUCUAAGGCUAAAUAUUGGCGAGAGACCGAUAGCGCACAAGUAGAGUGAUCGAAAGAUGAAAAGCACUUUGAAAAGAGAGUUAAAAAGUACGUGAAAUUGUUGAAAGGGAAACGCUUGAGACCAGACUCGGUGAUUGGUGAUCAGCGGUUGCUUUUGCUCCGUGCACUUGCCUUUCACUGGGCCAGCAUCAGUUGUGACGGUGGGAUAAAGACUUAAGGAAUGUGGCUCUCUUCGGGGAGUGUUAUAGCCUUAGGUGUAAUGCCACCUGCCACGACUGAGGACCGCGCU
rnacentral:rRNA from 2 species